CAGCGAAUAUAUUUCUGGGGUGACGUUUCUCAUGGCAGUCCGAGCCUUCCGACCAUGGAUGUGGCUUAACACCAUCUACAACAUCUCCAUGGAAGGAAUGUGGUUUCGAAAAAUGAUAAGUGGCAUCAACGAAUUCAAUCUAAAGAUCAUGAGCGAACGAAAGAAGACAUUCCACCUGUACAGAAACCAGGGAGACCUCAGCGGAAGCGAAGACGAGGAGGUCAAGGACAA
rnacentral:lncRNA from 1 species